GCCCUUCGGGGUACACGAGUGGCGAACGGGUGAGUAACACGUGGGUGAUCUGCCCUGCACUUUGGGAUAAGCCUGGGAAACUGGGUCUAAUACCGGAUANGACCGCGCACUUUCACGGUGUGUGGUGGAAAGCUUUUGCGGUGUGGGAUGGGCCCGCGGCCUAUCAGCUUGUUGGUGGGGUAAUGGCCUACCAAGGCGACGACGGGUAGCCGGCCUGAGAGGGUGUCCGGCCACACUGGGACUGAGAUACGGCCCAGACUCCUACGGGAGGCAGCAGUGGGGAAUAUUGCACAAUGGGCGCAAGCCUGAUGCAGCGACGCCGCGUGGGGGAUGACGGCCUUCGGGUUGUAAACCUCUUUCANUUAGGGACGAAGCGCAAGUGACGGUACCUACAGAAGAAGCACCGGCCAACUACGUGCCAGCAGCCGCGGUAAUACGUAGGGUGCGAGCGUUGUCCGGAAUUACUGGGCGUAAAGAGCUCGUAGG
rnacentral:rRNA from 1 species